UAGAGAAGAGGUUGCACCCUUCAAGAGUAAGCUGACCGAGGUAAGCAAGUACCAAAAGGCGGUGGAAAGGGAAUGGUGCCGAAACCAAGCGUUCCUUGCUAAGCGAUUGGUUGGGCCGGCGUUUAAGAGACGUCGGACUGUCGCGUAUGUCGCGGAGCGCUUCUA
rnacentral:ncRNA from 1 species